rnacentral:lncRNA from 1 species
GUUUGGAGGGCUCAGAAGAAGACAGGAAAAUGUGGGAAGUUUGGAACUUCCUAGAGACUUGUUGAAUGGCUUUGACCAAAAUGCUGAUAGUGAUAUGGACAAUGAAAUCCAAGCUGAGGUGGUCUCACAUGGAGAUGAGGAACUUGUUGGGAUCUGGAGUAAAGGUGACUCUUGCUAUGUUUUAGCAAAGAGAUUGGUGGCAUUUGCACAGAAGUCAAGAAUAGGGGUUUGGGAACCUCUGCCUAGAUUUAAGAAGAUGCAUGGAAAUGCCUGGAUGCCCAGGUAGAGGUGUGCUGCAGGGGCAGGGCUCUCAUGGAGAACCUCUGCUAGGGAAGCGAGGAAGGGAAAUGUGGGGUCAGAGCACCUACUCAGAGUCCCUACUGGGGCACCGCCUAGUGGAGCUGUGAGAAGAGGGCCACAAUCCUCCAGACCCCAGAAUGGUAGAUCCACUGACAGCUUGCACUGUGUGCCUGGAAAAGCUACAGACACUCAAUGCCA